CCUCUAGAGGCUGCAGGAGGAGAACACCAGCACUGGCAGAUCAAUACAAUGGAAGAGAGAGAGAGAGAACAAGACAGGGGGUAGAGAGGCAUAGGGAGGGUAGAAGAAGGAAAGAGAACGAGAAGGGGGGUGUCGCUGGGCGAGGGAGGGAGACACAGUGAUAGUGUGCGUGUGCGUGAGAGAGGAGGGUGCGAAAGACGGAUAGACAGAGAGAGACCGAGUUAGAGAGAGAGCAAGGUGCACACGUUGCUCAGCCUUCUCAUUGCAGCCGCGACAGGCAGCCAGAAAGGAGCUCCAAUCUAACCGGUGGCAGCAAUAGACUACUGAAAACACAGCUUGACCGAUCAAUAGACCUUUGCCAGAAACAUUGUGAGAGGGAGAAAGCUGCUCAAGGACCAGGGAGAAGCAGAUAAGGUGAAGAUCUAAAGGCAAUUACAACACCGGCUUCCAAAACUAGAAGACCACUGGGGACUUUGCAAUACAUCAGAGGGCGCAGAUUAUCCUUCUGUGUGGUGAGACAGGAAGAGCAUCAGCACUGGCACUUAAGUGCCGAUCAGAGGUCUAUUUGUGAAGUUGAUGAUCUCACCCUGCCCGAGUUGUGAUGUGGGGGUGCACCAUGGCAAUACAAGGUUCAAUGGUGAGCCUGGCUUUACUGUUCUUUGGGAUUCAAGC